rnacentral:rRNA from 1 species
AGUAGGGCCUGCCCACUGAAUAUUUAAAGGGCCGCAGUAUCUUAACUGUGCAAAGGUAGCAUAAUCAUUAGUUUUUUAAUUGAAAGCUGGUAUGAAUGGUUUGAUGAAAAAAUAGCUGUUUCUAUAUUAAUAUUUUAUAAUUUUAUAUUUAAGUUAAAAAGCUUAAAUUUUUUUAAAAGACGAGAAGACCCUAUAGAGUUUAACUUAUUAAUUAUUUUUUAAAAAAAGAAUUUAAUUUUAAAAAUUAAUGAGUAAGUUUAAUUGGGGUGAUUAAAAAAUUUAAUAAACUUUUUUUUUGUUUUAAUAUUUAUUUAUAAAUACUUGAUCCAUAAAAAUGAUUAAAAGAUU